GGGAAAGUUACGAACGAAAAAUCUAUUAAAAAGAAAAACAAAAUUUCAACCAUGAAUGUGCAAAGCAUACCAAAAGCACUGAAAGUUAACAGUUCAUUAAGCAAACUAGAAGAUUUCAAGGACAUGUACAUACAUUUCCGAUGGCAGUGAUACGAAACCUAAGCUCAACACUAACAAGAAAAGAUACAUAUGACUGGAGACACUGAAAAUUAGAUAAGCUUGAAGGGGAGAGGCCAAGGGGUGGACCUG
rnacentral:misc_RNA from 1 species